rnacentral:rRNA from 1 species
UACGAAGGGGGCUAGCGUUGCUCGGAAUUACUGGGCGUAAAGGGCGCGUAGGCGGAUGUUUAAGUCAGAGGUGAAAGCCCAGGGCUCAACCUUGGAACUGCCUUUGAUACUGGGCAUCUUGAGUAUGGGAGAGGUGAGUGGAACUCCGAGUGUAGAGGUGAAAUUCGUAGAUAUUCGGAAGAACACCAGUGGCGAAGGCGACUUACUGGACACGUAUUGACACUGAGGUGCGAAAGCGUGGGGAGCAAACAGG